rnacentral:rRNA from 1 species
AAGGGCACCACAAGAACGCGUGGAGCAUGUGGCUUAAUUUGACUCAACGCGGGAAAUCUUACCGGGUCCGGACACACUGAGGAUUGACAGGUAAAAGAAGUUCACUCUCGACUUCCCUUUUUGGGUNGUUUGAGUUUGGCUCUGUAAAUAUGCUAGUCCUUUCAUGAUUGUGUGAUAGGUGGUGCAUGGCCGUUCUUAGUUCGUGGAAUAAUCUGUCUGCUUAAUUGCGUUAAUAUAUGGAGUCAGUCUCUGAUAACCCUCAAUUACUUGUGUUUCACAGUUAAUUCUGUGCACUUUGAUUGGGGCUGGAGAUUAGACACUCUAUGAAACGAACGUGACCCCGACCUCUUGUUACCAGAUAUAAAGUCNUUUGUGGAGCAGUUUUACGANUGUAUCUCCCAUUAACGACUCUGGAUACGAGGGGGAUUGCCAAGCUCAAGCUGGAUGAAAGUCGGGGCAAUAACAGGUCUGUGAUGCCCUUAGAUGUUCCGGGCUGCACACGUGCUACAAUGAUCUAUGCAGUAAGUAUCUACAAAAGACUCCAUGUCCUUUUAUAGGNUGCGAGCAAGCCUGAUUCGAGAGUAAGUAGGUAAUCAAUUNGAAGUAUAGAUUUCCUUUUAUANCCGAUUGCAUAUGCGUUGCUUUUUUGCACGCUAUGCUCAGNNUCUUAUUCUNAGAAUUCAUAGUGGGGACAGACCUUUGUUAAUUGUUGGUCUCGGUUCAACUAGGAAUGCCUUGUACGGGUCU